rnacentral:rRNA from 1 species
UACGGGGGGGGCAAGCGUUGUUCGGAAUUACUGGGCGUAAAGGGCCAGUAGGCGGCCAACUAAGUCGGAUGUGAAAUCCCCAGGCUCAACUUGGGAACUGCAUCCGAUACUGGAUGGCUUGAAUCCGGGAGAGGGAUGCGGAAUUCCAGGUGUAGCGGUGAAAUGCGUAGAUAUCUGGAGGAACACCGGUGGCGAAGGCGGCAUCCUGGACCGGUAUUGACGCUGAGGCGCGAAAGCCAGGGGAGCAAACGGG